ACGAUGGAACUUUCUGUUUUGAAGAAAACAAGAAGAAAAGUUAAUAGACUGUCACAUAGAUUUACACUUAUGCAGUGCAGCGAUUCCAUUGCAUUCGAUGGACACUUUACCAUCCCAAGAGGCCACGGGACAGGAUUUAUGAACAGCAGUGAAGUGACGCAACUGACGCCAAGUAGUAACGUGGGAUGCAGGCAAGUCAGCAUGAACUGCAGCGCUAAUAGAGUCUCAUGAAUGUGCAGAUGUGCACAGAAGACCAAUGGCCAAGGUUGAUUCUGGUCUCUAUCCGCUGCCAUUAUAUGGACAAGCACAAGCAAGACAUAUUUUUAAAUUUCUCCUUUUGUGGUCCGAAAAAGAAAGAAUGGCACAGAACAACACCAUGG